GUUUUAAUUUUAAAAAAAAUGUUUUGUUAAUAUAAAUUAACUAUAGUAUACAUUUUAUGAGGGCUGAUCCAAAAGCAGUCCCUUCUAUUUCAUUACGUUGGCCCAUGAUGUCAGAGGUGGAUGUUGGUGGUACCAUCCUUCCAAUAUUCCAUAGCAUUUUGUUGCUGUGUUACAGAUGGCAGCAGAGGGACAGUGACAAAAUGGCAUCUGACAUGGAAGUGUGGAUGAAGAAAAGGAGUGUCAUUGAAUUCAUCCAUGAAGAAAACACUGCAUCCACUGACAUUCCUUGACUCUUGCUGAAUGUUUCUGGAGACCAAACAGUGGAUAGCAUAAAGCAGUCCCACGCCAUGCCCUGGGCACUUUGAAGCCUGGAGCUAUUGCUGACCCUUUUUAGUGCUGAGAAUCUGCUUCUCCAGCCUACAGGUAAGCUACCACUUCUGGUUUCCUCACGCCUGUGUUUUCCCUGACUUACCACGCAUAAACUGUGAGCACUCUGCUGUGUCACAGCCUCGAUGGUAGAGGACUGCAGGUCCCUGUUUGUGCACGGGUUGGGCAGAGGCAGGAGCUUCAUCCUCUGGGAUACACAGUUGACUUACUUCUCAUCACUGAACUCCAAAGAAUUCCAUCACUCUCAUCCUGCUGCAUCCUGACCACCUAAAAAAUGGCUUUCCAUGGGAAGGAGGUUCGUGUAAGGACUUCUGUAACACAGGAACCAGGUUGGUCCUCUCACUGGACCCUCACACCCGCAUUCUUGACUACCAUGGAGCUCUGAAGACUUCAAAGUGUGCCCAGCACUUUUCCUGAACUCCCUGCCAUGUCUAAUUUUUGACCCUUCCUCUGAGAAAUGAGUCCACUAGCGAAGAGAAGAUAAUUCUGCUCAUUUGGUCUCUUGAGAUUCCCACUAAGGGGAAGAAUAACAAUCCAGCAACAGCUUCACUGAUCUGCAUAGAAAAUUCAGGCUGCUUUUUUUUGCUGACCCUACUGGCUUGCCAUAUACAGC
ensembl:lncRNA